GGGUCCGGCGGGCCGCUGACCUCCUGAAAGAACCGGGGGAAAGAACUACCCGCCCACCCACCCUCCCUGGCCGCGAGGCCCGCGUCACCCGUCCGAGUGACCGGCUUGCAGGCGCGGGAUGCGGGCGGUUACGUUCGCCGCGACAACCGCAAACAGAUACGGCCCCCGGCCGGGACUGGCAUCCCGAACGAGGGCCUGACCAACCAGGAAGUAAACGGCUUCCCA
rfam:Streptomyces scabiei 87.22 complete genome